UACGGAGGGUCCAAGCGUUAUCCGGAUUUAUUGGGUUUAAAGGGUGCGUAGGCGGGCCUUUAAGUCAGUGGUGAAAUCCUGCAGCUCAACUGUAGAACUGCCAUUGAUACUGUGGGCCUUGAGUACAGAUGAGGUAGGCGGAAUGUGUAGUGUAGCGGUGAAAUGCUUAGAUAUUACACAGAACACCGAUUGCGAAGGCAGCUUGCCAAACUGUAACUGACGCUGAUGCACGAAAGCGUGGGGAUCGAACAGGAUUAGAUACCCUGGUAGUCCACGCCGUAAACGAUGCUCACUCGCUGUUUGCGAUACACUGUAAGCGGCCAAGCGAAAGUUUUAAGUGAGCCACCUGGGGAGUACGAUCGCAAGGUUGAA
rnacentral:rRNA from 1 species